rnacentral:siRNA from 1 species
AGCCGGCCGUGAAGGGAUGCC